rnacentral:rRNA from 1 species
GAGAUCGGGAUAACACCUGAAACAGAUGCUAAUACCGGAUAANAACAGAUGAUGCCUAUCAACUGUUUAAAAGAUGGUUCUGCUAUCACUCUUGGAUGGACCUGCGGUGCAUUAGCUAGUUGGUAGGGUAACGGCCUACCAAGGCGAUGAUGCAUAGCCGAGUUGAGAGACUGAUCGGCCACAUUGGGACUGAGACACGGCCCAAACUCCUACGGGAGGCAGCAGC